UUCAAGCCAAACAGAAGCCAGUGCCAGAAAACCAAUCAGCAACUGAAACACAUGGAGACAAAAUGGCAUCCGCUACACAAAUCCUGCGAACCGAUUUGUGAUGAAUCAGGGGUGAUUAAAUCAAUUAGCGGGCAAAUCAAAUUGCAUAGCCCUAAUGCAGACACCACAAAAGUCAAAGAGAACUGACUCAGAGUAAGAUGCUACACAGUUGAUUUAGAUUGGCCAGCUAAAACCACUGACUUUUAGAAAGGCAUGCUGCACACUGCUGCUCCUCUCCUCAGUGAAAUGCAGUCUUGGAGAUUCAUGCUUCUAAUCUGAAACAGAAUUGCCUAGAGGCCUCAAAGGCUGAGUUGGAAGUAAGGUGCAUGAACUGCAGAUCAUUUACAUCCUUUGUAAGGCUAUUUAAGAUCAUUGUUUACUGUUAAGACGACCAUAAGUGAUUAGUGUGAAAUAUGUUCAGUAUAAGCCUUUCCUUUCAAAGACAGACAAACAUAAAGAUGUAAUAACUGCCAUAUGUAAGAAAAAAUAAAAAUAAAUAAAAAUAAAAAGAUUCCAUGGUAGAAACAAAAUGGACUCGAUCAAUGUCUUUUUUGUUUCUGAAAAAUCCAACAUUUUUAUAAAAUAUUGUGAUUAUUCUGCUAAUAUUGGCUUUAACAGUGGAAAAAUAAAUAUUCCCAACAUAUACAUAUAUCACAGAAUACCUUGGUGUCCCUUCUAAUGAUUUUAAAUGAGAUGGACUAAAUCACUUCCCUGGGCUGGGGGCAGUAAACACUGUAUAACAGCAUUGUGGAGUUGUGAGGAACACCAACAGCUAUGUUCUCAGAAUACUUGGGUGUUCCUAUAAAAUUUUAGUCUUUGGCCUUUAAAAACCCGCAAACAAUAGAAGGAAUUAUUCCAUUGAAAAAAAUUCUGAAAACCACAGACCUCCACAAUGGGAACCAAGUCUUCAUGGCAAGUUGUGGUUUUUUUAAAAUAGCACUGCUGAUUAGAUAAAGCAAUGACAGGCCAAAUGUAAGUGACUAGCUUUCGUUGCAAAAAAAUUCAUUGCAAUGCUCACGUGGAGGGCGCCUUCAAAUCUCCACCUGACACGUGGCUUACAUAUAUCAUUUAUUUUAGGCUUUCAGCAAGCCAAUAUUCUUUCCCAUUGGUAAAAACCGAUUUCACAGCACAAUUACCUGUGGCACAGCUACAGCUUUAUUCAUGAUCAGAAAUCAUUUUCAUGUCAAUGUUUGCAUGGAAUGAUGUUUGUACACCCACUGCUGUCAUUGCACACAGACUGGGUGCUUUUGAUUUGGCCCUAUCCUGCUUUGGGGGUCAUCUCUAGCCCCAUUUCUUUGGGCUGCAUCAGCUAUAAGGGAAAACUUGCUGGCCAGAAGGUUUUCCGGAGAGAGAGAGAAAUCAGUCUAAGAAGGCAGCUCAAAGCAGCAAGCAAUACUAGCAGAAACCUUCCACCCAUGAACCUUUCCCAUCCUAACCGAUUCCUAAUCAUGACACUACCUGGUCCAGCAUGAACCUACCUGAGUCUAAAAGUCAUCCCCAGAGUCCCAGAGGUGAAUGGGAAUAGGGCCUCUUUGUUUUUGGCUGCAGUGGCACAUACCUUGCCACUAGGAGCUGGGCUUGCCAUCACAAUAAAGGUGAGGCAGGGGCAGUGGCAGCAGCAGCAGGCAGGUGGAGUGGCACUGGGGGAGGCCAGCAUUCGCCAUCCCUUGGCAUUCCACCUCAUGGACAAGUUGCCCAUAGUUAUGGCUAAGGAAUGUUUUCUGAAGGAAGGUUCACCUGGGGCCAGAUCUUAGGCCCUUUGGAGCCACAUAAAAGCCUUCUUAUUCACCCAUGCCUUUUUGACCAUUUACAGUUUUUCUUUGGUUUAUGCUGAUAUAUUCUGCUGCUUUUAAUAAUUUCUGCUUUAUCUUUUUAUUGUACAACACUUUGUAAGCCAUUGUGGAAGGUUUUGGACAUAAGCGUGGGAUAUUAAUUUUGUGUAAUAAAUAAAUAUGAGCAGA